ACUUCCACUUCACUCCGAAUCUCUCCAAAUACUUCCCAACUCAUGGUUAAUGAUUCCCAAACCUCCAAUUUAAUUUGGAAAUACCACACUUUACAUUCAUUCCUUAUUUUGCUCACUUUGCUCAACAUGAGUCUUAUAAUCCGACAACUUCCUUUUACAUUUUGUUUCGCGUCCAACUUGCGCCGAAACACUCAUUUAUCACCGGAAUUCAUUCCCACGCAUCCAAAAUCACUCGGGGAUGAUGUCCAACUAGCUCAAGCCUUACUUUAAUCCCCUAGAGCAAAGUUGACAUCGCAACUCCAAGAUACCAUAUAUUACAACUUCCCCCCGUUAACAAAAGUUUCGUCCGCGAAACUUAAAUACAUAUUACUCCUCAUUGCUUAACGGAUGGAGAUAAAUUCCAACACCAUUCCAAUGUUUCUCGACUUCCCCCAUGCUAUACUGAUUUCUCCCAAUCAGUCUCUACGAACACUUCGUUCAUGUCUCCAUAUCAACUCGUCAUCAGCGAUUAACUUAGCCACUGUCACUUCUAGUGCAUCCG
rnacentral:lncRNA from 1 species